UACAGAGGUGCCAAGCGUUAGGCGGAAUCACUGGGCUUAAAGCGCGCGUAGGCGGAUGUUUAAGUGUCUUGUGAAAUCCCACGGCUCAACCGUGGAACUGCUGGGCAUACUGGACAUCUCGAGGCACUCAGGGGCGAGCGGAACAAGUGGUGGAGCGGUGAAAUGCGUUGAUAUCGUUUGGAACACCAAUAGCGAAGGCGGGCUUCUGGGUGCCACCUGACACUGCUAGGACGAAAGCGUGGGGAGCGAAUGGG
rnacentral:rRNA from 1 species